ACACUCUCCAACACUCUCCAACACUAACCCUAGAUUUCUCUUCGCGACUUCUUCGCCUUCGCCACCGGCAUUCCGCCCGCCUCCGCCUCUGCCACAACCAGUCGACAGACCGCUCAGACGCCAGGUCGCUAGUCCAGUCCGGCAGUUGCAGCAGUCAGCGCCCAGCAGCCCUCAACAUUCGCAGCAGCCCUCCGCCUUCACAGUCGCAGCAGUCGCACCUGGUCGCCGGUCGCCCCUCACUCUCUCAGCAGGCAGCAAAAACAGAAAAUUCCUCUUGAUUUUCUCAGGGGUGAUAAAUUUCAAGAAGCAGCAGAGAACUAUAUUAAACCUCUCAUGACUAAAGGCUAUAUGGGGUUAGGAUGAUUCCUAUGUAUUCAUUGGCAACUUGCAAAGGGGAGUUGACAUGAUUUCAAUAGACAAAAGAGAAUUGUUUCGAAAUUACAAAGUGUACACAUGCCUGCUAUCCAAUGGCGCUUUGAUGCACACCAGUAUGAGGUCGGGAUGCUUGCUGGUGCUACCAUCGGUGGUCAGGUAUAUCUCUGGACACCAUCUUAAA